UAAGAAGUACGGAAAGGCGAAUAAUGUAAAGACCCCGGGGUAUGAUGAGACGAAGGAGAAAUCGUGGAUUGUAUAUCAGGACUGUACCUAACAACUUGUACGGGUGGGCAAUGUCCCAGUACAUGCCGUACGGUGGGUUCAACUGGGUUGAACCCACAAUGAACGGAUUGAAUGAUUUGAAUGAGAGGACGUGUAUAUGAGGUGGAUGUGACUUAUCCAAAAGAGUUGCAUGAUAAACACAACAACUUGCCUUUCCUGCCUCAAAACAGUGUACCGCGAGGCUCGAAGAUACAUAAAUUGAUGGGGACGUUCGAGGAGAAAAAAAAAUUUAUCAUACAUUAUAGGAACCUACAGCAAGCCAUUAAGAAUGGUUUAAUAGUUGAAAAAGUAAAUAUUUAUAUUUUUUAACAUUUUUAACAUUUUUUUCUUAUUUUAUAGGUACAUAGGGUUAUUCAAUCUAACCAGUCGGAUUGGCUGGCGAAAUAUAUUGAAUUAAAUACAGAGAUGAGGAAGAAUGCGAAGAACGAUUUUGAGAAAGAUUUUUUUAAGCUGAUGAACAACGCUAUAUUUGGUAAAACAAUGCAAUCAAAACGUAAGGAAAUGAAGAUGGAGCUGGUAUCGUGUGAGAGGAGGUUGCAAAAAUUGAUUAAUAAGUGUACGUUCAAGCACUGUACAACCUACAACGAGAAUCUGAACGCUGUCGUUUUGGAAAAUAAAAUUAUAAAAUUUGACAAACCUAUAUAUAUAUUGGAUUUGCAGUGCUGGACAUUAGCAAAACGUUAAUGUACGAUUACCACUACAAUGUCAUGCAGAAACAUUAUGGAGAGAAGAUAAAGCUUAUGAACACUGACACAGAUUCACUGAUUUACCAUAUCAAAACCGAUGACUUUUAUGUAGACUUGGCGGCUAACAGUAGCUUGUUGGACCGGAUGGACACCGCCAACCUGCCCAGUGACCAUCCGUGCUAUGUGGCAGAAAGAAAGAAGACCCAUAUUUCAUAGAUUAAAUUAAAGUUUUGUACCAAAUAUAUGAACUUACAAACUAAUGUGAUUCAUAAAUACUGCAACUUUAAAAAUAGAACAACAUUAAUAGUUAUGUGGAAUGGUCAAACUGACAAGGAAGUUUAAAAAAGUCUAAUAUUAAAAUAUAACCAAAUUUGAUUAAAGACUAAAUAAAAUUCACAACAUCUCCACAAAAAUAUAUAAAAUAAACUGAUGAGAAAAUAUAAUUUUGUAUUAUAGAUGCAAAAAAGCAGUGGCAUGCCAAAUCUUAAAUACGUUGUUGAUUGCAAAUAUUCUUGUUUAUUUAUUCAAAAUUUAAAGACCCCUAUUAUGGCCUAUACAAUUUUUCAAAUCGGUACUUUUAUUCCUAAAAAUAGGGCAUUAAUGUUACUAUCAUUAUAUAAUUACUAUAAUUCAGUGUUUCCCAACUUCUUUUACCCUCGGAACCUUUUCAGGAACUAGAAUGUUUUUUUUUUUCAUUAUAUUAUUUUAUAACAAGUAUCUCCUAUCAUAAGAUAAGGAAACAUUUAGUGAGAAAAGAAGCAUUUUUUUUUCCAAAUUUCUCAAGAAACCCUUGGUACCAGCUCAAGGAACCUUUGGGUUCUGCGGAAACGUUGGAAAACACUGAUCUAAUUGAUGAUCUAAAAAUAGUUUUCUCGUGAAACAAUAAAAAUUCAACAUAUCUCUGAACGCGUUUAUAAUCCCUAUUUAUUUUUUUAAUUUGUAAGUGAGAUGUAUUAGGUACAGAAUUUUUUUCUCCAGGAAUUUGAAUUUUAUUGUAUUAAGUAUAAAUAUAAUCACCAUUAGUUUUAAUUGAACCCUAUAAUGUCAUCAAUAACUAUAAAUAGAUAGUCAUAGAGAAAUAAUUUGAUUUAGUUUUUGUUUAAUAAAAAUUUACAUUUCAUAUUAGUAUUUUUCUCAAUUCCAACAGUAGAAAUGAACGUUAUCUCGAAUUAAGUUUCUAUUGCCUACGUUAAUCAAAUUUAAUAAAAAAUAAUUUUCUUGGCUCACCUUCAAUUGUCUACAGUUCUGUUAAAAUGUAUAUGAUACCAAUAUAAUAUAAUCACAAUUUACAAACAGUUCAUUAUGCUAUUGAAAUAUUUUAAAACAAAAUAAUGUUAUAUACAGUUUUAGUACCUAUUUCAUUUUAAAUGAAAUAACAUAAUAUCAUAUCAUCAUCUAAUAUUUUAAUGGAUUUACUUGUAGAUGAAGUACUCUUUGUAUUUGUCCACUUUAAUACAUAUAACAUAGGUUCUACUUGAAUAUAUACAAAUAUUGUUUGUAACGGGUUGCAAUACUUGGAUGAUGCUUAUUUAUGAAUUAUGUUCAUAAUUAUUAUUCACUACACAAGAUAGAACACUUACAUGCCAUAAAAGCGGUACACACAUUUGAAAACACUCAGAACUUACAGAACGCUAUGUCUUGCCAGAGAUUCUUAUAGUGUACAGACUUGUAAAUUUUGAACUCUAGGAUCAAAAACAUACCAAAAAAAUUUUAAAUCAUGAAACUAACGAUACAUUACAUUGGUUAUAUGUGUAUGUAGUACUUAGUACUUACAUUUAUACAAAUGAGAUCUGUCGAUUGCUCAGUUAUAAAUUAAUUAUUGUAUCUAUAAGUACUCUAUACAUAGUUGCCUAUUGACUUAUAUUUAACUACGAUAGUAGCCAGUAGGUACCUAUACUAUUGUUAAAAGUGGACAUACAAUACAAAUUAAAUAUAAAUUAAUAUUUUGUGUUUUAAUAAAUUUGUAUUUCAUAUCGGGUACCUAGGUACAUGAUAAUAACAUGAUAUAUUAUUAUUUCAAACUGACUCUAAGUGUAUAACAAUUAAUAUUAAAUUUUACUAUCAAUGUUUUUUAUGCAAAACUCAAUAUACAUUUUAAGCUGUAGUAUGACACAUAUGUUUAACAGAAUAUUAGAUUUAUAUACUUUUUGACAAAUUGAAGCCAUAUCUUUUCAUUAUAAGGUUUAUUAUUUUAACUUAUUAUCACUUUUCAUUGUUUCUCUACGACUAACUACUUUUAAGUAGGUAUUAAAUUUAAUUAGCUCAUCCUAAAUGUAUUCAUGUGUUGCCAUAAACUUUCUUUGGUAGGUACCUAAUAGAUUUGAAUAGUAAUUUUCUGGGGUUUUUUUUAUUUAAAAAUCAAACAAAUAACAGAUUAAAGUAAAUAUUUUAGGGAGCAAUUCUUUAAUCAAAAUACCAAAUACUCGAUCAAAUAUGAUUUGUUGUAAUUAUUGUCAAUGUCCAAGGUUUUAAUACCUUAGACCUAUAAGUUUUAUGACAUUUGACAAGUUAUAACUUAUUAACCCUAUGCAAUUUUCAAUUAUUCAUUAUGCUAGAAAUUAAAUAUUUUCUUAUUAUGGAAAUGUUUAAAACUAGCAUACAUUUUAAUUUGUUUGUAUUUGAUAGGAUGUUAAUCAAAAGUACCAAUACCAAAAAUUAGAAACAAAGCUAUAAUUAGUGUUUAAAAAUUUCAUGAAAUUUAAAAUAAUGAAAUAUUUCAUGAAUUUUGUUUUAUUUUUAAAUAAGUUUUGUAUUUACAUAUAACUGUCAUU